rnacentral:rRNA from 1 species
AAACCGUAUAUAUUGGGCGUAAAGGAGCGAAGAAGGUUGAUUAAGUGUGAUGAAAAAGCCCGGAGCUCAACUCCGAAAUGGCAUUGGAAACGGGUAAACUAGAGUGUUGUAGAGGUAAGUGGAACUCCAUGUGUAGCGGUGGAAAUGCGUAGAUAUAUGGAAGAACACCAGUGGCGAAGGCGGCUUACUGGACAACAACUGACGUUGAGGCUCGAAAGUGUGGGUAGCAAACAGG